GACGGAGGGGGCAAGCGUUGUUCGGAAUUAUUGGGCGUAAAGGGCGCGUAGGCGGAUCUGUGUGUCUGGCGUGAAAUCUCCACCACUUAACGGGGAGAGGUCGCUGGAAACUGCAGAUCUGGAGUUUGUCAGAGGACCAUGGAAUUCCAGGUGUAGCGGUGGAAUGCGUAGAUAUCUGGAAGAACACCGGUGGCGAAGGCGGUGGUCUGGGGCAAAACUGACGCUGAGGCGCGAAAGCCAGGGGAGCAAACGGG
rnacentral:rRNA from 1 species